UACGUAGGGUGCAAGCGUUAAUCGGAAUUACUGGGCGUAAAGGGCGUGCAGGCGGUCGACUAAGUCUGGCGUGAAAGCUCGCGGCUAAACCGCGAGAGGUCGUUGGAUACUGGUUGACUAGAGGACGGUAGAGGCGUGUGGAAUUCCGGGUGUAGUGGUGAAAUGCGUAGAGAUCCGGAGGAACACCAGUGGCGAAGGCGGUGCUCUGGGCCGGUACUGACGCUGAGGAGCGAAAGCGUGGGGAGCGAACAGG
rnacentral:rRNA from 1 species